rnacentral:rRNA from 1 species
UACGUAGGUGGCAAGCGUUGUCCGGAUUUACUGGGCGUAAAGCGUGCGCAGGCGGUUCUGAAAGUCAGCUGUGAAAGCCCCGGGCUUAACCUGGGAAUGGCGGUUGAAACUACAGGACUAGAAUCUGGCAGAGGGGGGUGGAAUUCCACGUGUAGCAGUGAAAUGCGUAGAGAUGUGGAGGAACACCGAUGGCGAAGGCAGCCCCCUGGGCUGAGAUUGACGCUCAGGCACGAAAGCGUGGGGAGCAAACAGG